rnacentral:rRNA from 1 species
UGCCAGCAGCCGCGGUAAUACGAAAGGGGCUAGCGUUGUUCGGAUUUACUGGGCGUAAAGGGCACGCAGGCGGUCUUGCCAGUCAGGGGUGAAAGCCCGAGGCUCAACCUCGGAACUGCCUCUGAUACUGUAAGACUUGAGACUAGGAGAGGGUGGUGGAAUUCCCAGUGUAGAGGUGAAAUUCGUAGAUAUUGGGAGGAACACCAGAGGCGAAGGCGGCCACCUGGACUAGAUCUGACGCUCAGGUGCGAAAGCGUGGGGAGCAAACAGGAUUAGAUA